CACGUGCGUUUGCGUAAAGCUGGCGCUCCGGUUUCCCUGGCGGAGAAGAUGGCGGCUCCUGGACCGGGGGAGUAUUUCAGUGUCGGGAGCCAUGUCUCUUGCCUCACCUGUUUAGGCCAACGUUUGCAGGGAGAGGUGCUGGCUUUCGAUUACCCGUCCAAGAUGUUGACUCUGAAAUGUCCUUCCUCCAGUGGUAAGCCCAACCUCAGUGAUGUCAUCCUGGUGAACUUAGCCUAUGUUUCAGAGGUGGAUAUUAUUAAUGACCGCACUGAGACUCCUCCUCCUCUAGCAUCCUUGAAUGUUAGCAAGCUUGUCAGUCGGGUGAGGAUGGAAAAGGAAGACAAGUUGUCCCAAGCCUAUGCAAUCAGUGCCGGGGUUUCAGUUGAGGGCCAGCAACUAUUCCAGACAAUUCACAAAACCAUCAAAGACUGUAAAUGGCAGGAGAAGAACAUCAUUGUGAUGGAUGAUGUCGUAAUCUCACCACCAUACCAGGUGGAGAACUGCAAAGGCAAAGAGGGAAGUGCUCUAAGUCAUAUACGCAAAAUUGUCACGCAGACAGCUUCAUUGAAUGGCUUCAUUGAUUAUAACAGAAGCAGUCCAAUAUUCCCGAUCUCUUCGCUGAGGAAAUAAUUGUGAGCAUCUACACUACGAUACAAUUUCAUUGCCUCUCUUGCGUAGACGCUCCAUAUCAACAGUACGUCUGGAUAAGUCACUUCAGGUUGAGAAACAUUUUAGAGAUGUGGAAAGUCAGAAGUCAAUGCAACGUACACAAGCACAGCAAACACAGAAGGACUCGUCUUUAUCCUCCUGAGUGUGGGGCUAUGGCUCAUACGGGGAGGGCACCACGGGCAUCAAGGGCCUAACAGCUGGUCAAAACCAGCGCUCUUCUCCCCCUCUGUGGCGUAGUCUGAGGGUGGAUGCACCAAGGGCCAAGGGUUUGGAAGAUCAACAAAAGAAACAAAGAAAAAAAAACAUUUAAAAAAAGCAAAAAUGUUUUAAGGAAAAAAAAAAAAGUGAGAGUGAAAAGAGUUAAAUUAGACUUUAUAAAGAUAAUUUAAAACACCAACCAUCAAACAACCAUAGUUUCUUUGACUAACAGUGUCUUAUUCCCUCUCUGCCCCUUCUUCCUCCUAUGUUUCAUCUGAAAUAGCUUUUCAUGUUUUCUUCUCUUACAUCCCUCCUUCGCCUUCAAUUCCAUUUUGUCAAAAAAAAAACAGUCAGAAAUGCUUGUUAGCUUUAUUUACUUUUAUUAUUUUUUCUUUUGGCUGUUUAUGUUCUACAAGUGUCUGUCUUCUGUAUUUUAAACAAAAUGUGACUUCAGAUUCAAGGACAUUUUCUAAAAUAAAAGUAACAGAAAUUC